rnacentral:rRNA from 1 species
UACAGAGACUGCGAGCGUUAUUCGGAUUCACUGGGCGUAAAGGGCGCGCAGGCGGCCGAUUGCGUGAGGCGUGAAAGCCCGGGGCUUAACCCCGGAAUUGCACCUCAAACUACACGGCUAGAGCAUUGGAGAGGGUAGCGGAAUUCACGGUGUAGCAGUGAAAUGCGUAGAUAUCGUGAGGAACACCAGAGGCGAAGGCGGCUACCUGGACAAUUGCUGACGCUCAGGCACGAAAGCGUGGGGAGCAAAAGGG